UAAUAGUUUGAUUUUGUCUAAAAAAUUAAUUAUUUGUAUAUAUUAUAUGAAUAUAAUUAAAUUUUAUUAGAUCAGUAAUAAAUUUUUUAUUAUAAUUUUAUUUUUAUUAAGUAAUACAUUAAUUUUAGAUAAAAAUUGUGCCAGCAUUCGCGGUUACACAAUUUAUUAGGAUUAAUUUAUUAUUAGUUUUAAUUUUUUAUAUUCAUGAAUAUAUUUUUAUUUUAUUUAGGUGAAAUUUUUAUUGUAAUUUAUAUUCUUUUUUUUAAUUUUAAUAAAUCAUUGUAAAAAAUUAGGAUUAGAUACCCUAUUAUUAAUUGAUUUAAUUUUUAUUACACUUUAACAUUAAUAGUUAUUUUCUAUUAAAUUUAAAUAAUUUGGCGGUAACUUAUUAUUAGGGGAACCUGUUUCUUAAUUGAUAAACCACGAUAUAUUCUACUCUUGUAAAUUAUUUGUAUAUCUCUAUAAUUUAAUGUAUUUUAAUAGAAUUUCUUUUUUUCUUAUUAAGUUUUAUAUUAGGUCAAGGUGCAGUUAUUAUAAAAGUAGCUAUGGGUUACUUUAAUUAUAAAUAUUUUGAAUUUUUAUUGUUAGAUUAUUUUGAAAUAGGAUUUAAUAGUAAUUAAGAAUUAUUUUUUAAUUUGAAUAUAAUUUUAAGUUAUGCACAUAUUGCCCGUCACUCUCAUUUAAAUUGGGAUAAGUCGUAACAAGGUAAUUGUACUGGAAAGUGUAAUUAGAAUUA
rnacentral:ncRNA from 1 species